rnacentral:rRNA from 1 species
AACCGUCUAAUGGUUGGUUCCCCCCGAAGUUUCCCUCAGGAUAGCUGUGUCUAAGUAGUGCCAGUUGCACGCGGUAAAGCGAAUGAUUAGGUGUCUCGGGACCUUAUUGGUCUCGGCUCAUUCUCAAACUGUGAAUAGUGUGCGUCCACACGUGACUUAUCAGCACGUUGGGUUAAUGGCCAGAUGCAAGUGGGCUGGUUUUGGUAAGCAGAACUGGCGAUGUGGGAUCAACCAAACGUCAUGUUAAGGUGCCCAACUGCAUGCUAACGGAUUACACAAAAGGUGUUGGGUGGUGAUGACAGCAGGACGGUGGCCAUGGAAGUCGGCAUCCGCUAAGA